rnacentral:rRNA from 1 species
AGAUCAAAUUGUUGGUCGUGCCUUGGUACGUACUGGCAUUAUUGAUUUCUCCCUUCUGAAGAACCACGAUGUCAUUAACUUGGUGUUUUGGGGAAUUUGGACUGUUACUUUGAAAAAAUUAGAGUGUUUAAAGCAAGCUAACGCUUGAAUACAUUAGCAUGGAAUAAUGAAAUAGGACGUUCGAUCCUAUUUUGUUGGUUUCUAGGAUUGACGUA